rnacentral:rRNA from 1 species
ACUCCUGCGGGAGGCAGCAGUGGGGAAUUUUGGACAAUGGGCGAAAGCCUGAUCCAGCCAUGCCGCGUGCAGGAUGAAGGCCUUCGGGUUGUAAACUGCUUUUGUACGGAACGAAACGGCCUUUUCUAAUAAAGAGGGCUAAUGACGGUACCGUAAGAAUAAGCACCGGCUAACUACGUGCCAGCAGCCGCGGUAAUACGUAGGGUGCAAGCGUUAAUCGGAAUUACUGGGCGUAAAGCGUGCGCAGGCGGUUAUGUAAGACAGUUGUGAAAUCCCCGGGCUCAACCUGGGAACUGCAUCUGUGACUGCAUAGCUAGAGUACGGUAGAGGGGGAUGGAAUUCCGCGUGUAGCAGUGAAAUGCGUAGAUAUGCGGAGGAACACCGAUGGCGAAGGCAAUCCCCUGGACCUGUACUGACGCUCAUGCACGAAAGCGUGGGGAGCAAACAGGAUUAGAUACCCCGGUAGUCCCAUG